rnacentral:lncRNA from 1 species
CCCGCUGGGCCCGGCGCUGGCGGCCUCGCUGCACGCCGCCAAGCCCGGCAGCGGCGCGGCCGUGGCCCGCUCGCCCUUCUCCAUCGAGAGCAUCAUCGGGGGCGGACCCGCACCGGGACCCGGACCCGGACCGGGACCGGGACCCGGCUCCGGUGCCGGUAGCAGCUGCGCCUCGCAGUCGGCCGCGGCACCGGGGCUGUCCCGCCCGCUGGGCAGCGCCGGCGGAGGCCUGUCCCCCGCCGCCCCCCUGCCCGCCGCCCCCGGCUUCGCGGGCCGCAUCUCUAACUGUUAAGGGUUUCGGAGUCUUUCCGAAGGUAGGAUCCGGGGUUAUCUCUUUGCUUCGCCUCUCGGACGCCCGGCGGACGCGGCGAGGAGCGGAGCCGCGGGGCUUUGCGCGGGGCUUUGCGCGGGUUUUUGCGCGGGUUUUGUGAGCGAUGGGGAUCGAGGGUCGUCCUCCGCGGCCGCUGGGCCGCCCAGGACCUGCCCUAAUGCACAGCCAGGUCGAUAUGCUGCAUGGGCGGACGGUCAUGCUGUUGGGAAGUUACUCGCUACUCCUUGAAAAAAAAAAAAAAAAAAAAAAAAAAAAAAAAAAAAAAAAAAAAAAAAAAAAAAGGAAAGGAAAGGAAAAAAAAUAAAAAAAAAAAAAAGAAAAAAGGGAGAGAAGUCUUUUAGUGCUCUUCGGUGUGGGGAAGGAAAGUCUAUAUGGUCGAGACUUUUACGUCUCGAAGUACCUCGUCGCCUUAGUUUUCAGAUUCCUCGUGGACAGAAAAAUGAUGGUUUUCAGUUUUGUUGGUAUCAAUGUAGGGUUAAAACAGUGGUUUUCAGAAAGCGGAAAGACUGGACGUAUGAUCUCUGCUGGGCUUUAUUUGCAGCAUGUAGCUGGAGGGCCUCUUUGGGUGUCCCAGGUCCCUUAGAGGACAAGUACGUACCGUCCUGUUUAGUUUUUAGACCAGAAGGGAAGAGAACCCCGAGGCUCCGCGGACCUGCACCCUGGGCAGAAAUCAGCGUUGUUCUCUAGGGAACCAUUCACUCCCCAUCUCCGGGCCUGCGCCCCCACCGGGGC